CCUCACGAGUGUUUCCGAGUGGAUUAGUGCUUCCGGAUGGUGGUGGUCCGUUAGUUUGCGAGAGCGCGGGUUCGCUUGUAUUCUGUAGCGCCGUUAGUUUUUGGUCGCGAUUUAGUGAUCGCUGACUAAGAUCGGGGAACGAACUCUGUGCACGAGGGACAUCACAAUGCCCGACAAAAGCAGCGCCGGAAGCUACAAGGAUAGCCGCAACACGGAAGUGAAAGCGAUUCCUUUUCCCCCGUCCGCCGAGCGGAGGAAUGCUGGCUUCCAAGAGUACCACCCGGGUGUCCACCAGCCACGCUCGGGAGGCUCAUCGCCCACGUCGCCGCAGCCCACUCAGGGUGGCUGGAAGUUCUGAAGAUCGGACGAGAGAGAUGCUAGAAUGAAACGACUGACGACUUCCCCGCCAAGACCCUGUUGCAGUGCUGAGCAGCUCAUCAAAUCAUCGCCAGAGUGUGAUAAACGUAACCUAAGCAUUCCCACGAUCUCCGUUUCUAGUUUUGUACUAACUGCUUCAUUAAAUGAAGUUGAGUUA
rnacentral:lncRNA from 1 species